UUGUUUGUUUUGCGAGGAUACGCGUUACACAGACGGAGGUGACACUCAAACACACCGCUGUGUAACAGAAGAGCGACACCUCGGGUUUUGCAAAAAAACCAUCUCCAAGCCUUCGGGUUGGCAGCGAGUGUCAGAACGUUCUGUUUUGAAAAACUCUGGCAGUGGCAGAAGAAUAGACAAAUUCUAAUGGAAGCUCGACGUCUACAGAUAGACUCUCCAUAGAUGGGAUUCUAAAGGUAUAGGAAUAAAUAAAUAAAACCUUUCGCGUGUAACUAAGGCGAAGAAAUUCAUCCCUUCCCACCCUGCUGCAGCCGCCGGGUGAAAGGCGCACUAUGAUGCUCCCGGGGUCCCCUUCUGUCACCGUUCUGUCCAGGCGCUUACGGCACCACCGCAGGUUUCCGUCCCCCACAGCAAUCGCUUCCCAUUUCCUCGUUGUUCCAAGCCCUGCCCGCCCGAGGCACCUCUUGAAGUUCAGCAUGGGGGGAACUCUUUACACCUAGUGCCGAGCGUCGCUGUGUGAAAGCUACCUCUCCUCCAGCAGUACCCCGCUGGCUGGUCUUUAAGAUCUAUCUUUAGGGGGAGUUCCCCGAAGUCUCUGCAAGGAACAGAGAUGCGGAUUUUAAACGCGGUCCACUUCGACUCGCGCAGUGCCUGCAUACCUGCUGCAAUAGAAGGGAGCGAUACUCACCCGAGUGUGUGCGGACAGCCCAGAGGUCCCUGCAGCACCCGCGUCCUCAGUGGAAUACCAUCUUGCAUCCGCGGCAGCUCCCAGCCUACACUCGAUGUUAACAUUUACGCUAUCUCAAAUACCAGGCUCUCCCAUAGACAUUUUUCCAGGGUUUUCAAGCAAAUUUCUCGGUGCCAUAAUGUUAUGAUGGAAGGAUGCUGAAAUGACAGGCCUCGUAGACGCUUGUCUUAAUCAUCGGCUUCUUAAUUUAGUUUUAGUGCUGUGGUUUUGUGUGUGCGCGUGUGUGUCUGCGCGUGUGUGCGCGCAAGAGAAGGCUCUGACAACCUGCAGCUUCCUAAUGACUGACGAGGCAGGGCUGCUGCAGCAAAGUAACACUUCCCUGGUGUGAAGACCUCUCACUGGGAAGUUUAGUUCACUACUGUUCUCGCAAUGCUAAUCGUAUAACCUGUAACCAAAACCCAGGCAAGAAGGAUACAGCAUGCUAAAUAGAGUAACUUCUAAUCACUAAACGUUAGCACCACGGCCAGCUGUUAGGGAUUAACUGAAAGUCGGUUAGAGACAGACACCUAAACUUAAAUAUACAAACGCGAUGUAAGGGUGGACCGCCGAAUACUUCUUCCUCUCUCUCUUUGCCUCCAUUCAUUCCUCCACCUCCAGUCCCAUUCACCCCUCUUCAAUCUGUAUGACCACCUCUCGCCUUUGUUAGCGCUCGUUCCGGCCCCGCUCGCCCUGCCCGAGCAGCGGGAUGUCGCUGCCUGCUGAGCUGCUCUUACCUUAAUUGCCCAGGUAACCUGGAAUAAAUAAGACAAGCUUAGAAUCUGGGGGAUAGAGCUAUAAAUGCGCACAUCCAGGCAUUUACUGUACCCAACGCGAUAUUAGAGGUUGUUAAUCUAAGGUGUCCCGACUCGUUUCGUGGACACAUGAUGCCAUCGAAGCGUGGUUAUUAAAUACUCUUUAUUCAUGGCUGAAAAAACCCUCAUUCAUUCCUUAAGCUGUCAGGACAUUUUAACUGCUUAACCCCUUGGAAGAGCCUGGGAGUACAGAGCCGCUGUAUUUGCGUGAAGGGAGACUGGAGGCUGGAGCCGUGGGGGGGCCACAACAUAUCUGCAUCCAUCGAGCUGACAGUGGUACACUUUCCGUUUGGCCCUUUACUUAAAAAAAAACAUGCAGGGAAAAAUCUGCGGUGAAACAUUAUCAGUAAGAGUUGCACCCAGAAUCUGUAUUCAAACUGCACGGCAACCCUUCAGAUGGCAUUUGAGCCGGGGGUCCUCGGAGCAGUACUCCCUCAGCCCCACAGCGCCACGAGCCCCUGAGGGUGGGGAGCACAGAGCUGCCCCUCCUCGCACGACCCGUGCCCCGCCAGGCUGGGGCCGUGCAUUCCCUUCUCCGUUCAGGCUGUUUCUCCAGGCACUCCACCAAAAUUUUCAUGCUAGCAAGUGCUAAAUUUCUGGACCCUCUCACAGGAAUUCGAGUGCAGACGGAGCUGAGAGGGUCAAACCAGCCACUUAUUCAGGGUCACCAUUUAUAAAGCUACUACUGAAGUGGACGGGAGCUGCGACCAGGUCAGAGCCAACAGAAGAACUGGCGUUAGAGCAGGAUUUCGAGCGUUCAAAGCCAAUAGUCCCACUUUUAUACAUGAGGAAUUAUUAU